UACGUAGGGUCCGAGCGUUGUCCGGAAUUAUUGGGCGUAAAGGGCUCGUAGGCGGUCUGUUGCGUCGGGAGUGAAAACUUACAGCUUAACUGUGAGCGUGCUUUCGAUACGGGCAGACUUGAGGCAUUCAGGGGAGAACGGAAUUCCUGGUGUAGCGGUGAAAUGCGCAGAUAUCAGGAGGAACACCGGUGGUGUAGACGGCUUUCUGGACCGUAACUGACGCUGAGACACGAAAGCGUGGGUAGCAAACAGG
rnacentral:rRNA from 1 species